rnacentral:rRNA from 1 species
CAUGCAAGUCGAGCGGUAGCACAGGGAGCUUGCUCCUGGGUGACGAGCGGCGGACGGGUGAGUAAUGUCUGGGAAACUGCCUGAUGGAGGGGGAUAACUACUGGAAACGGUAGCUAAUACCGCAUAACGUCGCAAGACCAAAGAGGGGGACCUUCGGGCCUCUUGCCAUCAGAUGUGCCCAGAUGGGAUUAGCUAGUAGGUGGGGUAACGGCUCACCUAGGCGACGAUCCCUAGCUGGUCUGAGAGGAUGACCAGCCACACUGGAACUGAGACACGGUCCAGACUCCUACGGGAGGCAGCAGUGGGGAAUAUUGCACAAUGGGCGCAAGCCUGAUGCAGCCAUGCCGCGUGUAUGAAGAAGGCCUUCGGGUUGUAAAGUACUUUCAGCGGGG